UAUUAAUCUUCGAUUAUUAUUAGUCAAUUGUUAUAAAUAUUAUUCGUCGAUUAUUAUUAUUAUUUGAUUAUUAUUAUUCGAUUGUUAAUAAUAUUUGAUUAUUAGUCAAUUGUUAUUAAUACUAUUCGAUAUUAUUAAUCGUUGACUAUUAUUAUUCGAUUGUUAAUAAUAUUCGGUUAUUAUUCAAUUGUUAUUAAUACUAUAUUCAAUAUUAUUCGUCGAUUAUUUUUUCCCGUUAUUAUUAAUAAUAUUCGACUAUUAUUAUUAAUAUUCGAUUAUUAAUAAUAAUAUGAUUAUAAUAAUAUUAUUUAUUCGAAUUUUAAUUCGAUUAUACUUCAGUUAUUGGAUUUAACUGAGAAUUGUCAUAAUUAUUACUUUUUUGGAUUGAUUGGAGUAAAUGUGCGUUUUCAAUCUGUUUAAGUAAAAGUGAAACUAAAAAUGAUGAAAAUAAUGAAAAUAAAAGUUCUCGAAGAAAAAAAAAUGGAUAUUUGUACAAAUCUUGAGUCACGUGAUCAAAUGUGGAAUAAGCAAACAAUAAGAAGCUGCGAAGGUACAAGUAAUAUCUAUACAAUUGCAGAUGGAUGAUACUUAGAUGUGAAAAGAGGGAACGUUUACUCAAAGAAACCGGAGAAGCUGUGCAUGUUGCAAUGAUAAACACAAUGGUCUGCGAUGGUGCUAAAGAAUAUCAUUUGAAUUUCCGACUUUUUUCAAAAAAAAAAAAAAAAAAUUUUCAAACAAUAUAACACUAGAUUUCUAUCGUUCGUAAUGUAAGUCUCGCAGGUCAAAAGGGGAACUAGAUUUUUAUUUCUUAACAAUUAUUCUAUAUGAUUACAAUUAUUUGGUUUCUUUAUUUCUAUUUUCUCAUUAUUUUUUAUUAUUCUUCUUCUUAAUAUUUUUUCUAUUUUUUUCUGUUUUAGCUCAUCUUGUCGGAUUUUUAGUUCCUUGUGUUCCGGCAAAAUUAAUCCUUUUCGUUCGAAGACGAUAAAGAAGAUGAUGUAUGUGAACUCGAGGCGAGUUGCUGAAGAAUUUAUAACGGACUAUCGACAACAAUUUUUGUAUUGAGUUUGAAAAUGAGAAAAAAUUACUUUUACGGUCUUGCAGCUACAGUGGCGCCGUGACGGAAAAAAUGUUGCAACUCAGGCGCGGUGUAUGAAGAAUUGUCGCCUAACCUAUUAGCAACGCGAUUUCAUGGAAGAAUUUCUUGUCAGCUCUGUGUGGCUUUGAAAGUCGACGGAACUUCUGUUAAAGGCGCGACUCUUCCACGAGAUGACACCCGUCCCAAAGGAAGAAGCGGCGUAUAACGAACUAGAUGGAAGCUAAUGGUAUCGGAUGUCCAAGCGCGUCAAGCGAAAUACGCGUGGCUUUAGGAACGAGAAUGCUACUAGAAGAAGAGAAAACGAAGAAGAAGAAGAAAAAGAAAAAAGACAACGAGAAAACAAAAAGGAGACGAGAAAAGUAGAAAAAGACCAAGGAACUAAGUAGGAACGCCCUUCAGAAGUUCGCUAAUCAAGAGGAUUGAAAUUCCCCAAGAGCUUCAAAAUUCGAAAGUUGGGGAAAAGGUGCAAAACGGAAUGGAAAUAAAAUAAAAGUGCGAUAUGCGGGAUUUAUUCUAUUGAAGAAAGGGGUUCUUUUUUUAAAAUAACUGUGUCACUGUCAGGUUCGAAAUGCAAGUCAUGACAGGACGCCGAGUGCCAAGCUACCGGAUAACGUUCCCUGCGAACGGCACUGACUGCAAGUACCGAGUUGUCCGCAUCGGAGUCUAUUUUGCCUUCAAGGAAGUACACUUUGACGGAUGGUGGUGGUAAUGUUCAUCUAACGAGAUCGGCUUCAUCGACUGCCAACUUGAUAUGCGGAUCCAUUCUCCAUCCACUCAACAUGACACAAGUGACUUUUUAAACUCCAAUUUGCGGAUGUACAAAAUGCACCGGCGAUGGGAGGAUAUUACAGACUAAACCUAAUUGAUGCUUUAUGAAGGAAAUUCCAGGUUGAAGGCGGAUUUUCUCAAAAUUGGUUCAAUUGAAAAGUAUCAUAAAUUGCUCUCAAAAAGAAAUCUAUCCUUUUCGCUGAUAGAAAAAAAUUGCAAGGAUCAUCAGGAUUGUAUAUAUGAAAAAG